rnacentral:rRNA from 1 species
AGCGAACGCUGGCGGCAGGCCUAACACAUGCAAGUCGAACGAACUCUUCGGAGUUAGUGGCGGACGGGUGAGUAACACGUGGGAACGUGCCUCUUGGUUCGGAAUAACUCAGGGAAACUUGUGCUAAUACCGAAUGUGCCCUUCGGGGGAAAGAUUUAUCGCCAUUAGAGCGGCCCGCGUCUGAUUAGCUAGUUGGUGAGGUAACGGCUCACCAAGGCGACGAUCAGUAGCUGGUCUAAGAGGAUGACCAGCCACACUGGGACUGAGACACGGCCCAGACUCCUACGGGAGGCAGCAGUGGGGAAUCUUGCGCAAUGGGCGAAAGCCUGACGCAGCCAUGCCGCGUGAAUGAUGAAGGUCUUAGGAUUGUAAAAUUCUUUCACCGGGGACGAUAAUGACGGUACCCGGAGAAGAAGCCCCGGCUAACUUCGUG